GCCUUCGUGGUGUAAUGGUCAGCACACUCGGUGCGUAUUCGAUAGGUCCGAGGUUCGAGUCCCGGCAAGGGCA
rnacentral:tRNA from 1 species